rnacentral:rRNA from 1 species
GAGCCUGAGAAACGGCUACCACAUCCAAGGAUGGCAGCAGGCGCGCAAAUUACCCAAUCCCGACACGGGGAGGUAGUGACAAUAAAUAACAAUACGGGGUUCUUUAGGAUCUCGUAAUUGGAAUGAGUACAAUUUAAAUCUCUUAACGAGGAACAAUUGGAGGGCAAGUCUGGUGCCAGCAGCCGCGGUAAUUCCAGCUCCAAUAGCGUAUAUUAAAGUUGUUGCAGUUAAAAAGCUCGUAGUUGAAUUUCGGGGUUAGUAGGUUGGUCAUGCCUCUGGUAUGUACUGGUCUCACUGAUUCCUCCUUCCUUAUGAACCGUAAUGCCAUUAAUUUGGUGUUGCGGGGAAUUUGGACUGUUACUUUGAAAAAAUUAGAGUGUUUAAAGCAAGCUAACGCUUGAAUACAUUAGCAUGGAAUAAUGAAAUAGGACGUUCGAUCUUAUUUUGUUGGUUUCUAGGAUUGACGUAAUGAUUAAUAGGGAUAGUUGGGGGCAUUAGUAUUCAAUUGUCAGAGGUGAAAUUCUUGGAUUUAUUGAAGACUAACUACUGCGAAAGCAUUUGCCAAGGAUGUUUUCAUUAAUCAAGAACGAAAGUUAGGGGAUCGAAGACGAUCAGAUACCGUCGUAGUCUUAACCAUAAACUAUGCCGACUAGGGAUCGGAUGAUGUUAAUUUUUUAAUGACUCAUUCGGCGCCUUACGGGAAACCAA